CCUACGGGUGGCAGCAGUGGGGAAUAUUGCACAAUGGGCGAAACCCUGAUGCAGCGACGCCGCGUGAGUGAUGACGUCCUUCGGUAUGUAAAGCCCUUUCAGUAGGGAAGAAACUGACGUUACGUGACCUAGAUGCCCCGGCUAACUAAGGGCCAGAAGCCGCGGUAAUAUGUUGGGGGCAGGCGUUAGCCGGAUUGACUGGGCGUAAAGGGAGCGUAGUCGGUGGUGCAUGUCAGAGGUGAAGGCCGGGGGCUCAACUCCGGGGCGGCGUUUGAAACUGUGUGACUUGAGUGCAGGAGGGGUAAGCGGAAUUCCUGGUGUAGCGGUGAAAUGCGUAGAUAUCAGGAGGAACACCGAUGGCGAAGGCAGGUUACUGGGCUGUAACUGACGUUGAGGAUCGAAAGCAUGGGGAGCGAACAGGAUUAGAUACCCGAGUAGUC
rnacentral:rRNA from 1 species